GGACAGUUGUUAUGAUCUUAGACAUUAUAGAGUGCCCUGAGUAUGAUGAUGUGGGAAAACACCCUGGCAUAAUUGUGAUGUGGCCAUCCGUGCUGUUCCUGUUCCUUCUGCUAGGAUGUUUUAUUUUUAAUUUUGUGAAAGCAGUGAGAAAUUCAUUUGUAAAGGAGCAAAAUG